CCUUGCUUCUAAGGAGAAUACUGCAUUUGGGGGGCAGUGGUCCAGGUGGAAGCUCACGGAUCCUCCUAAAAGCAGUCGAGGGAUAUCCUGUCCCUAUCAGCUUCCAGGCCGUUUCUCUCUCGCCCACCUCACUCACAGUUGUUUGGAUGACAGAAAAUACCAGUCCUCACCAAUGGCUCCAUUUAGAUUCUGGAAGAUUCUGGACUUGUGAUCCAGGGCGAUCCCAUGUUUCUCCUAUGCAGACAGUAAGGAGCUAAGCCUUCUGUUUUGCAGGUAUGGAUCUCACCUGUCCACAAACAUGACAACCAAGUCCUCGUCAUUUGCAUAUUUCUUCAUUUCGGCCUUCAGCCAACGGACCUUCUGUCCUCCACCGACGGUCCGGGCCACAUCCCCGCCCUUCCAGUCUUCACCUAGACCAAGAGUCUGAGGACCAGAAGGGUAACAAGGAAAGCAUGAUCUACGGCAGGGGUUCCUGACCUUGGGUCCUUGGAUGUUGUUGGACUAUAACACCCAUCAUCCACACAGUGGCUGAAGGCAGAGGUUUCCAACUGUGGAACACCAGGUGUUGUAGACUAUAAUCCCAUCACCCUCAGCCACAAUUAUCAAAGGCC